AUUAUCAUUAUUUACUCAUACUUUACGUUAUGAGUAAUGGGGCUUUUAUUUUGAAAAAUACAUUUUAUUUUGCGGGAAACCGGAAGUAGCGCACUAAAAUACUUCCGUUCGCAUAACACCGCUAAAAUCAGAUGGAGCGCUGCUUCGGGUUCUCCCACGAGUUGAGAAAACAAACCGUGAAGAAAAGAAGUUCGAGAGCCAUCCAGAAAUCGUUUUUAUCUGUCCUGGCUUCUCAUAUUGAAAAUCCUCUCUUGGUAAGCUAAAGUGUUCAAUGAUUGUGUGUGUG